rnacentral:misc_RNA from 1 species
AUGUAUUGAACAGCAAUUCCAAUUACUAAUGGAAGUAAUAACACAAUGCAACAUAAAAUUGUUGUCAGGGGAAAGAAAUCAAAAUCCUAUCAUAUCACACUUACAUAUUUGUAUAAUUACUAUGAUAACCAUGUCAGCCAUCAAGCAGCAUUCUUCAAAAAUGAACUCUUAACACAUUAUGCAAUGCACACCUAUCAAAUGUAUAUAUAAACCAGACAUUUCAUAUACUUUCAACAAGAAAGAAAGCAAGCAGUCGAAACUUGAAACAACUUUAAUGUAAGAGCUUACAACAAGGCAAUCUUAAUUCCUGACCUUUUCAAUAUGGACCAAACUGUCCACACUGCUUCUA